rnacentral:rRNA from 1 species
CCUACGGGGGGCUGCAGUGGGGAAUAUUGGACAAUGGGGGCAACCCUGAUCCAGCCAUGCCGCGUGUGUGAAGAAGGCCCUCGGGUUGUAAAGCACUUUCAGUGAGGAAGAACGCCUGGUGGUUAAUACCCAUCAGGAAAGACAUCACUCACAGAAGAAGCACCGGCUAACUCCGUGCCAGCAGCCGCGGUAAUACGGAGGGUGCGAGCGUUAAUCGGAAUUACUGGGCGUAAAGCGCGCGUAGGUGGCUUGAUAAGCCGGUUGUGAAAGCCCCGGGCUCAACCUGGGAACGGCAUCCGGAACUGUCAAGCUAGAGUGCAGGAGAGGAAGGUAGAAUUCCCGGUGUAGCGGUGAAAUGCGUAGAGGUCGGGAGGAAUACCAGUGGCGAAGGCGGCCUUCUGGACUGACACUGACACUGAGGUGCGAAAGCGUGGGUAGCAAACAGGAUUAGAUACCCUAGUAGUC